AAAUUAAAAAAAUUUUUUUUAAUUUAACUUUGUUUUUGCAAAACACUGUUUUCUUUAAACUAUUUUAA
rnacentral:tRNA from 1 species